rnacentral:rRNA from 1 species
CUACGGGGGGCAGCAGUGGGGAAUAUUGGGCAAUGGGCGCAAGCCUGACCCAGCAACGCCGCGUGAGGGAAGAAUGUCUUCGGAUUGUAAACCUCUGUCCUUGGGGACGAAAAAAAUGACGGUACCCAAGGAGGAAGCUCCGGCUAACUACGUGCCAGCAGCCGCGGUAAUACGUAGGGAGCAAGCGUUGUCCGGAAUUAUUGGGCGUAAAGGGUGCGUAGGCGGCGCUGUAAGUCAGAUGUGAAAUCCCCGGGCUUAACUCGGGAGUUGCAUUUGAAACUACAGUGCUUGAGUAAAGAAGGGGUAAGUGGAAUUCCUAGUGUAGCGGUGGAGUGCGUAGAUAUUAGGAGGAACACCAGUGGCGAAGGCGACUUACUGGUCUUUUACUGACGCUGAGGCACGAAAGCGUGGGGAGCAAACAGGAUUAGAUACCCCGGUAGUC